rnacentral:rRNA from 1 species
UACGUAGGGCGCAAGCGUCGUCCGGAAUUAUUGGGCGUAAAGAGCUCGUAGGCGGCUUGUCACGUCGGGUGUGAAAGCCCGGGGCUUAACCCCGGGUCUGCAUUCGAUACGGGCUAGCUAGAGUGUGGUAGGGGAGAUCGGAAUUCCUGGUGUAGCGGUGAAAUGCGCAGAUAUCAGGAGGAACACCGGUGGCGAAGGCGGAUCUCUGGGCCAUUACUGACGCUGAGGAGCGAAAGCGUGGGGAGCGAACAGG